UGGUGCUGCGAUGGCAUUGGUAA
rnacentral:piRNA from 1 species